UUGUCCCCUCAAAAAAAAAUCUUUCCCUGCGUCGCCCAAAAAGUUUUCCCUGCGUCGUCAAUCUAACUUCCUCGUUGGUGGUUCUCGCCUCCUCGCCAGUCGCCGGUGGGUCUCUUUUCUCGCGUCCUCUCCAGUCGCCACUUGUUAGCUUGCUCGGCCGGUGGUUCCAAGAAAAAACAUAGGUUGCUCGGCCGGUGGUUCCAAGAAAGAAGGUUGCUCGCGUCCUAUUCUCCGUCAAUCUCCUCGCCACGGCAAGUGGAAGGGAGAGGUUGUUUGUCGAAAGAGGCUAAAAAUGGUGGUUUAGAGAUUCUGGAGCAGAAAAGGCUUCAGCGAAUCAAGUCAGAAACAGGAGUCCAGGGCACCACAGAAAACCCAAAUAAAAAUAAUGGUAGCAAUUUCAGUUGGAGUUGUGAGUGUUGCCAUUGGGAUUGGCAUUCCUGUUUUUUAUGAAACCCAGAUUAACAAUGCUGCAAGGCAAGAGAAUACACAACCUUGCUUUCCAUACAACGGCUCUGGAGCUCGUUACAGAUUUUAAAAAGAGUUUGAAUACUGUAAAUUCUGCAUGUGAUGAGGUGCGAAAUUCUGGGAACUUGAAAUGGAUGCGCUGUGCUAGUAUUGAAAUUGCAGGAGCAGAAUGCCAUUAAUUAUCAGAAUAUUCAGAAACAUAAUGAUGAGCUUUCCAAAUAUAUAUCUGGAGUCACUAGAGAUCUGAAGGAAUGUGAACUUUCCCGUUUCAAGGAGAUUAUGUGCAGCAUAAAAACUUUACAUCAGAGUUCGCCCGUUACCAUUCUUUAGCCAAAGGUUUCUACUGCUGGUUCUUCGUUACAGAAACCAUUCACAAUGAGGAUAAGAAACAUAAAGUUAUUAUCAAUUUAGAUAACGAGACUAAUGAAGAUCUUUCUUGCUUAAUAGUUGCAAAGGAAUCAGGUAAAAAAGUAGUACAUCCUCCUUUUCCUGCCGUUCAUACAAAUUACGCCAUGAUUCAUAACCACUAAGUUCACUGUUUUAUGUCACACGAAAUGCAGAUAUUAAUUUUAUGGACGAAUUGGAGCUAGACACUGCAGAAAUCCUUAGAAAAGCCAGAAGAAGAAAGAGAAAACAAAAUUGUAAAAGAUCAUUCCUAACUCAAAGAAAGUGAAGGUCUAUACUACGAGGAAUGUGCCUUAUGCUAGUGAGGAAAUUGAUGUGGUUCGUGAGCAAUGGGCUAAGUUUUUUACCAAGAAGUAUUUAUUAUUGGCCUGAGCGCGUUUGAUCGAGUUGGCUUAGAUGUUAUAGAACAAUAUUUUAUAUUAAAAUGUAUGCUUACGUUGAAAUUGGAACGUACAUAUAUUUAAAUGUACUACAUGCACUUUU